rnacentral:rRNA from 1 species
UGAAUACGAGACGCUAAGGCGUCGAAGUAGUGUAUGUCAUACUUCCAAGAAAAGCUUGCACUGUCAUAAGUAAAAAAUGCCUGUACCAUAACCGACACAGGUGGGUAGGUAGAGUAUACUAAGGGGCGCGAGAUAACUCUCUCUAAGGAACUCGGCAAAAUAACUCCGUAACUUCGGGAGAAGGAGUACCUUAUUCUAUAAGGUUGCAAUAACAAGAUCCAAGCAACUGUUUAUCAAAAACACAGGUCUCCGCUAAGUCGUAAGACGAUGUAUGGGGGCUGACGCCUGCCCAGUGCCAGAAGGUUAAAGAAGUCGGUUAGCAUUAGCGAAGCUGGUAACUGAAGCCCUGGUGAACGGCGGCCGUAACGAUAACGGUCCUAAGGUAGCGAAAUUCCUUGUCGGGUAAGUUCCGACCCGCACGAAAGGCGUAAUGAUUUGGAUACUGUCUCGGAGAGGGGCUCGGUGAAAUAGACUUGUCUGUGAAGAUGCGGACUACCUGCACCAGAACAGAAAGACCCUAUGAAGCUUUACUGUAACUUGAAAUUGAAAUUGGACUUUAUUCGCGCAGUAUAGGUGGGAGGUGUUGAUUAUAAUCUUGCGGGAUUAUUGGAGCCAUCAGUGAGAUACCACUCUUGUAAUGUUAGAUUUCUAACUUUGAAUCAUUAUCUGGUCAAAGGACAGUUUCAGGCGGGCAGUUUGACUGGGGCGGUCGCCUCCCAAACGGUAACGGAGGCGUACAAAGGUUUCCUCUGAACGGGUAGAAAUCGUAUCUAGAGUGUAAAGGCAUAAGGAAGCUUGACUGUGAGACCUACAAGUCGAACAGGGACGAAAGUCGGUCUUAGUGAUCUGACGGUACUGAGUGGAAAGGCCGUCACUCAACGGAUAAAAGUUACUCUAGGAUAACAGGCUGAUCUCCCCCAAGAGUUCACAUCGACGGGGAGGUUUGGCACCUCGAUGUCGGCUCAUCGCAUCCUGGGGCGGUAGUACGUCCCAAGGGUUGGGCUGUUCGCCCAUGAAAGCGGUACGCGAGCUGGGUUCAGAACGUCGUGAGACAGUUCGGUCCAUAUCCGGUGUAGGCGUUAGAAUAUUGAGAGGAGCCUUCUUUAGUACGAGAGGACCGAGAAGGACAUACCUCUGGUGUACCAGUUAUCGUGCCAACGGUAAACGCUGGGUAGCUAUGUAUGGAGUGGAUAACCGCUGAAAGCAUCUAAGUGGGAAGCCCACCUCAAGAUAAGUAUUCU